UCCACAUGCACCGCUAAGCUUACGAUGAGGGAUCAAGUUUAGCUCUUCUAUUACAUCCAUUUAGCAAGCGCCAACGUUCUGCCUCUACGACCUAGUAUCCCACCCCAGAUUGACCCUGGGCCAUUUCCUGUGGAAUGUUACAACCCAGCGAAACGCUGAUAACAACAGGUUACGUUGGGACUUUUAAAACACCAGAGCAAGUAAACACAGCCAUCUAUGGAGGGCCAACAUUUAGAUAUUUGUUUUUGUUAUGUUGAACAUAAAAGAAGAAGAAGAAAAUCUAAAUGAGAACUACUUUGAAUAAGAUACAUAGAUCAAUGAAAAUAAGAAAAUAAACAAGCAAAUGCAUGAGAGGGACAGAAAUGUAGUCUUUUAGCAGAUCUUAUCCAGAGUAACUUAAAGUAAAGGCUGGUUUAUACUCUGUCUGGCGACAGUCACUGCAACCAGCAACAUUGCCGGUCGCAGUAACAUAAUUCAGGGUUUAGUUUAUAAUUCAUGAAUGAAAUAUAUUUUCAAUAAAACAGCGACCAUAGUCAAAGGUCGGGCAACAUUAGAAUGUUCAUGAACAUUCUGUGAUUUCAGUCACGCGAUGGAGUAUAAACCAGCCUGCAACCAUCUCUGGAUGCAGCAGUUUGGCUUCAAACUUACAGAAGGAGAGGCAUAAGACAUCCUACAUAAGACAGAAGAUUCCGCUCUUAUCUUAUUAUGAUAGCACCUAGGAUUUAGAUCAACCCAUCUCUCUCUCUCUGCCUCACUUCUCUCUGACUCUCUUUCUCUGUCUUUCUCUUUCAAUAUCUCUCUCUCUCUCUCUCUCUCUCUCUCUCUCUCUCUCUCUCUCUCUCUCUCUCUACAAAACAUACAUUUUAUGUACAUUAAUAUGCAGCAGUAAAACAUUAAUACAAUAACGCAUUUUUGUCAUUUCAUGCCACUGUAUAGAAUUUCCAAUAAUGCUAAACUACUCCUCUUGCCUUCACUAUUCCAUUUACUCUUUGCCCCUUAAUUGCAGGACACAUUUCCAGUGGAAACAGUAUCCCCUACAUCACAAGGUCCUUUGUUAGGGAAACACUCUCAUUUUCCAAUCUUUAUAAUCCAAAAGAAUCCUCACUAUCCGAUUUGUUGUGCUCUGGUUAACAAUAACUAAAUUGUUUUAGUGGCUCCUUGGUGAACCUGAACCAAAGGAUGGGCUAUAAAAGUAUGGAGUGUUCCGGAAUACUGGACAGAUGGACAGUAGUAACCCAAAUGAUUAAAUAGUGCAAGGGAGAAAUACAAAACACCCUGUGCAAAACUACUUUAUUACAAUAUUAUCUUGUUUUUAGUUCAUGUUUGCUUGAAAAGAAACAUUUUCUUAUUCCACAAGUCAAAUUGUCUUACCUCACUGGCAUUAUUUUUGUCUUAUUGUGUAAAAGAAAAAUAUAAAAGAAAUAUGAUAUUAAGCAAAAUUAUUGUACAUUUUUGGGUGUAAAUGGGUUUGCAGUCUUCUUGUAUGUUUUAGAUAAACUUGGAAAAGGAUUGUAAGUGCAUGAACUAACAUGAAAAUAAUUUGUUCAAUCAAUUAUCCUUUUAGCUGUGACUGUCAAUCCCAAUGGAUUUGAAGAUGUAGCUAGAGAGGUAUCAAAGUGCUUCAAAAGGAAAUUGUUUUAUAGCAUAUCAUUUUUCAAUUUUUGUGACUACCUGAAGCAUAUCUUAGUCAAAUGUCUCAGGAGUAAAUGCUGCAGCUUACUCAUUCCAAACUGAAAACAUGAAAACAUUGUUUAUGUAAAAACAGCUAUUUUACUGAUAUUGUAAAUGAACAGCAGAACCAGAAAAAAUUAGCAUGGUUUAACCAAACUACUUAUUUUUCUAACCAUCUAAACCUUGGGCUAGAGUGAAGGUUGCGUUACGCAAUUUAAGCUGUUCUGAUUUGCGUGUGUGGUGUGAACGUCUAUAGGUACUGCAUUAUGGUGCGAAUGAAUCACUCUACAAAUUGCAAUGUGUAGCUAAAUGCAUGACACGAGAAGCAGCUCCCUGACCACAUGUUUUCAAAUCCAAAUAAAAUGUUGCAUAUUAUUUCUGCUUCCAAAGCCUUAAUGUAGGCCUAAUAAAAUCUGGCAUUGCCAACAUGUGCAAUGCCACAGCAAAAUGUUGCACCACCAAAUGUUUUGAUUGUGCCCCCAGUUGAAUAAGUUAGUCUGGAGCCCAGUUGCUGCAUAACCUAAUUAUGCUUCAGCUUCAGCACAUGAGCAAAUGACUGGACAUGCUCCCAAAGAAUCUCCCGGUAUGGAGAAUUAGCGGUUCCUUCAAAAUGCAGGUCUGGAGGCAGCAAAGCAUCCCCACACCAUCACACCACCACUGUUGGAAUGAUGUUUUUAAUGUGAAAUGCAGAAAUUGCUUUAUGUCGCACAUAAAAGGACACGUGUUGUCCACGAUAUUCCACUAUUGAGUCAUCUGUCCAUAUAGCAUUGAUGAUAUUCUAAAUGAACAGCACGGGGCAAAAUGAUCUUGACUAUAAAUCAUGUUUGGGGGUUUAACUCUUUGGCCAGGCACAGGUGAACAGAGGGAGCGGGCAGCAGUAAACGAAUGCUUCGCUUGGCUGUCUUCCAUCCUCCUCCAUGGCCACUGGAACAGGGGGGCGGGGCUUUGUCACAGGUAAUGUACAAAGUACUAAAGCUUCAGAGGCAUAACCCUGAGGCACAACACCAGAGGAGAUGGGGCUGCAUCUGGACAUGGCCGGGACUCUGCUUCUAAUGGUGCUUACCACCAGCGUCUGCACCCUGACAUCUCUGAGGACGGAGUCUUCAGAAGAGGAGUUAGGGAAGUUCACUGCGGGGGACAGCGUGGAGGACAGUGAGGGGGACAGUGACUCCGAGUCGGAGGAGCUACGGGAGCACGUUGGGGGUUUUUUCAUGGAUUUGAAUGGAGGGUCACAACCAGGGACAUACCAGGUAAGAUUCAGGAACUCAUAUUUAUUAUAUCAGUUUCUAAGCAAUAAUGGAC